AUCUUUUAAUUAAAAAAAUAGAAUCUUUAUUUUUGUCUGCGUAAUUUAGUGCUGCAGAUAUAGUACAAGCUAAGGUUGCUGCACAAUUUAAUAUCACAUAAGAAUUGAAGCAUAAUUUUGCUUAAUUUUUGUUGCUGCAUAAUUUAAUAUCACAUAUAAUUUUGGUAGAAGAGGAAAACACAAAUAAAACUUCUUCUUCU
rnacentral:lncRNA from 1 species